GGCAAUAAAACCAAUUUGAUAAAGAUUGAUUUCUGACCGUAUAGAAGAUAUUAAAAGCAUAGAGUAAAUUAUUGAAUCUAAGUACAAAAUAUACUUAAUUUAGGGAAGGAUUCAUAGUGAAAUAUCAAAGAAAAUAAAGGACAUAAUCAAUCAUUUAAACAAGCGAUUAAAAUUAGGAUUUAUAAGAAAACCUUGUAAUUAAAAUGUCACUAAAGGAAAUCAAGAUCAAUCAAGAAGUGGUCAUGAUUCUACACUCCAUCAUAUAAAUAGAAAGGAAUGAACAUAUGUAUUAGACAUGCAGGGUUAAUCAUAUUGACAAAAAAGAGUGAACUAGAUGAACAUAAACACACAUGAGUGACAUGAAUAUGCUAAUGACUAUUCAAAGCAUGGUAAUCAACAAGGUCAAGCAGUCAUAACUCACAUGUAGAACCAAAGUGAAGAAAUCAGUCUAAUAGGUAAAGAAAGUCAGAAACAAGCAAAGAACUCACAGUAAUAAGUGAGGAAAACAUUGUAAGAAAUUUAGGGUUUAUACAAUAGUCUAGUUAAAAUUGGUAAGAACUCAAAAUCAGAUAAGUCAAACAAGAAAAAAGGAUUCAAACACAAAGAACUCAAUCGAACCAAGCAUGCUUAUAAAAUAAACAAAGAUUUUCAACACUCGGAUAAAACCAGAAACACCUAGGGUUUUAACACGAUGAAUCAGAUAGGACAAAAAAAAUAAGCAAAUCACUUAAACAUAGUAAAACAAACAUUGAAAAUUGAAGAAGAGGUCUUUAAAAAGAGUUUACAAAAACCCUAAUUGUUAAAGAUGAAGAGCCGCUUUGAAAAAAUCGGAAAACCUUUGAGGAAAACACUUAAGAGGUUCAUAACAUACAUAUAUCUAAGAUAGAUCUGAAAGAAAAUCAGAAUGACUUUAAAGGAUAUGGUUUUAGAGAACCCAGAAAAGUAAGAAAACUUCGAAAAGUUACCGAUCUAGCCGGAAAAGCUAUGAAUAUGACUUGAUCGACCAUAGAUAGCUGGAACAAAACCAUAGACAGAAGUCGAGAAGGAUUUGGGUAAUAUAUCUUCAAGAUCUUCCCAUAGAACCAUGAAAAAUGGCCACAAGGAGACAUAGGAGAUGAGUACAAAUUUCAAACAGGCAUGAGAGGCCAUGGAUUGGGUAGGUAUUGAAAGGGAUUAUGGUGGAUUUGGAUGGCGGCAGAUAGAGCUUAGGUGAGGUUACAGAGAGAAUUAGAGAGGAAGGGGAUUCAAG
rnacentral:lncRNA from 1 species